GGCUGGUCCUAAUCUCUCCCUCUACCUUGUACAGGAAGAGCAGAUGCCUGAAGAGGUGAAUAUAGAUGAAUUACUGGAACUUCAGACUGACGGAGAACGGAGAAGCCAAUUACAGAUAAUGCUUAGACUGUGCAGGAAAAAUACAGAUGAAUUCAUCACGGAGCUAUUAAGGAAGUUACAGGGACUUCAUAAAGUGGAGGUGCAGAAAGUUGGACUGGAGUCCCCCCAACAACACUAAGAGGCUGUUGAUAGACAUUACUGGGCUGUGAAGGGGAAUUUCUUUUAAAGAAUUCUUUUGGCACUGUUGUAGAAACUAAAUGGCAUGUAUUUUGCUUGCCUCUUGCUAAUGCAGAAUAAGCUUUCAAAGGCAAUUAUUUUGCCGGAUAUAUAAAAUGUUUUGUUUUUGGUUGUUUUUUUUUGUUAAUGCAAUUAAAGAGAUUGACACAG